AACGAACGUUAGCGGCGCGCUUAACACAUGCAAGUCGAACGAGAAAGGGCUUCGGCCCCGGUACAGUGGCGCACGGGUGAGUAACACGUGGGUAACCUUCCCUCGAGCGGGGGAUAACGUUCCGAAAGGAACGCUAAUACCGCAUAAGACCACGGGCUCGAAAGAGCCUGGGGUAAAAGUAGGCCUCUGAAUUCACGCUUACACUCGAGGAUGGGCCCGCGGCCCAUCAUGGUAGUUGGUAGGGUAACGGCCUACCAAGCCGAAGACGGGUAGCUGGUCUUAGAGGAUGAUCAGCCACACUGGAACUGAGACACGGUCCAGACUCCUACGGGAGGCAGCAGUGGGGAAUCUUGCGCAAUGGGCGAAAGCCUGACGCAGCGACGCCGCGUGGGUGAUGAGGGCCUUCGGGUUGUAAAGCUCUGUGGGGAGAGACGAAUAAGACGUGGCUAACAUCCACGGCGAUGACGGUAUCUCCUUAGCAAGCACCGGCUAACUCUGUGCCAGCAGCCGCUGUAAAAC
rnacentral:rRNA from 1 species